UAAUAAUAAUAAUUCUAGAUCCAUUAGGAUGCCCGAGACUUGAUUGCAGAAUUUUUUUUUAUCUAGUUCAAAUGAAAACCCAACAUAAUCAAAAUUUAUUCUAUGCUAAAAACUCUAUUCCAGACUGUUCAUUGUUUAUUAAGUUUCAAACUUUAGAAAUCACUUAGUUGGCUGCAUUAAAGGUUGUGAACUUGUUUUCAUGAAUUUCACGCUGCAAUAAAAUAUUGAAAUAUUUAUUGUUCAAGCUUUUUUUGGGGGAGAAAAUGAUUUCAUAAACUACAGCCUAAAAGAUUUGCAAUACAAGAAUUGCACCUUGAAAAUUCCUUUUAGUUAUUUGAAUAUCUAGUUUUUUAAUCUACAGAGCUUUUUUUGAAAGUAUUUAGUCAGUAAUAUGUUAUUCUAGUCAUUUAUAUAUAGAUUUAGUCAUUCAUUUAUA